rnacentral:rRNA from 1 species
GACGAACGCUGGCGGCGUGCUUAACACAUGCAAGUCGAACGGAAAGGCCCUGCUUUUGUGGGGUGCUCGAGUGGCGAACGGGUGAGUAACACGUGAGUAACCUGCCCUUGACUUUGGGAUAACUUCAGGAAACUGGGGCUAAUACCGGAUAGGAGCUCCUGCUGCAUGGUGGGGGUUGGAAAGUUUCGGCGGUUGGGGAUGGACUCGCGGCUUAUCAGCUUGUUGGUGGGGUAGUGGCUUACCAAGGCUUUGACGGGUAGCCGGCCUGAGAGGGUGACCGGCAUGGGGGGACGUGAGAUGCGCGAAAGACACGAAGGGGAGGAAGGGGGGGGGAGUGUGGGAGGCGGGGGGGAAGCCGAAGGCAGGCGCGGGGCGGGGGGGGGGGCGGCGUUUGGGGUGACGGCGGCUUGAGGGAGAGAGAGAGCGUGAGUGAGGAUAGGGGUGAAAGAAGAACCGGCGAACCGACUCCCAGCAGCGUCAGACAAGGAAUGACAAAUGUGUGACA